rnacentral:lncRNA from 1 species
GCGUGUAGGUGGUAACUUGUUUUCUAGGUUACCUUAAAUUAAUAUAUUGGAUAUAUUUGGUAUGCGUCUAUCAGACAGCAACAUAACAACGCAAUGAUGAUGAAAACAAAAGACAUCCAUAGGCGAACAUAGUACGGUCGUCAACAAUAGACACAGAAGACAACCAUAGGCGAACAUAGUACGGUCGUCAACAAUCUAUAGGCGAACAUAGUACGAUCGUCAACUAUAGACAAGUUCUGUACUUCAUAUGAAAACUUUAAACUGCUCUGCAUGAAGACAAGUUUUGCAUGAGUCUUAUAGACAAAAACAAAAAAAGAAAUCUACAAUAUCUUAUCUUUCUUAGAAACACUUACUAGAGGGUUUUUUACUUCAAUCUAUAGUACGUCACUAUUGAUCAUUAUUGACUUAAAAUUCCUAAGUGAUUUCUACGAUAUUUGUUUUUAUGUUCUAAAGAUGCAUGCUCAAAUAUUGCGUUACUAUGACAUGUGCAUCCAACAUUGUCCAAAAACCAACAAAAAAAGCAUGAAAACAGUACUGGGAGGGUCUGGAUGGCAUUAACAAUUUAUCAGUAGUUCAGAAAAAAUGUCAAAAUAAAAAGAAUGAAGAAAAAUAAUUUAACAAAUACAGAUUAAGAAAUAAUGAGGUGUAAAAUAUAGCCGACUAGAGAAUAAUUGGCAAGAUAAAUAAAUAAUAUAGAAAACGGUAUAAAAAUUGAGAACACAUAUAUGAGAACCCCAUCAAAACCCCCUACUAGUGCGGGUACAGCAUUUGGUUUUUAAUCAUUAAAUUAUUAAAUACUUCGAAAUUCAUUUCAUGCCAAAAUUGACAAACAUGCUAUUGUUAAAAUUGUUAUCAUGAUGAAUAUUCUUUGAUGGGUUUUUAUUUUUUUUUACAUAUAUUGUAUUCAUAACUAAUAUCUAUCGCG